rnacentral:tRNA from 1 species
GGACUGUGGCUCAGUGGUAGAGUGCUUGCCUAGCAUGAGUGAGGCACUGGGUUCAAUCCUCAGCACCA